rnacentral:lncRNA from 11 species
GCCAAGAGAAACAUGUACACCUUCAAGGCCUGGCUGAUGAACCUCCUUGCCGACCGUGACCCUGAAGUCAGGCGAGUUGGCAGGGAGAACAAAGCCAUCCUUGCCAGGGCCUCUGCCCUCCACUCCUGACAUGGGCUGCGGGCUGCUCUUCGGCACUUGGUGGCGCCCUGCAGGCGGUACUCCCCAGAAUACACCAAGGAACCACCUGCCUGAUGGACUGCACUUUCCAUGGAUUCCUUUGGAGAGGAAGACCCAAACCGCCAGGACCUGCUUAUCAGGCCCCAUCGAC